UUCAUCCGUUCCAGUGUUAAAAAACAAAACAAAAAAACAACAACAGAAUCUAAAAUAAAAGUGAAAACUGAAUACUGCUGCCUACCUCUCCAGUCUUGACGUUUGGGUGUGUGUAAGAGGGGGGUGUGUGAGAAGGGGAUCUGGCUGGUGUUGUAGCUGCGCCGUCGGAGCAGGUUAUAGAACCUCUUUCUCUGCUUUGGUGGUGGAGUGGGGAGGCUGGGCUGGGACUGGGGAGCAAACCCAGAGCUGUAGCCUGGUCCUGGGAGGGAGGGAGGGCCGUAUCCCAGUCUUGGGGAAGGAUAUCCAGAGUUGAGGUAAGUGUUGCUGUGUCCUUGGGCAGUGUUUUGGCAUCCUGGGUUAGGGCUGCUGCUGGGGUUGGUGUUGUAGGCUGGGUUACAGUGUCCUGGGUUAAGGUUGCUGCUGGGGUUGGUUUUGUAGGCUGGGUUAUAGUGUCCUGGGUUAGGGCUGCUGCUGGGGUUGGUGUUGUAGGCUGGGUUACAGUGUCUUGGGUUAGAGUUGGGGUACCCAGCAGAUCCACGAUUAGGGUAGCCUUGGAGUCCAGAGUUUGGAUAUCCUGGGGGUCCAGGGUUUGGGUAUCCUGAAGGUCCGGUGUGACUGUAGCUGGCUGCUCCUGGAGGAGAAAGAGGUGGUGGGGGGAAGCUGUACCCAGGAUGAUGGUCGGGUGUGGGGGGAGAGUAGCUGGUCUUCCGUAGCUGGGUCAGGCAGUGGCCGUGCGUGUGCUGCUGGGAGCCCCUGGAGGAGUAGCCUGCUCGAUGGUGGCGCACCAGGCCGGGGGGGCUGGGGCCAGGGUAGGGGAAGUCCUGUCUGUGUAGUGGCCCCUGGAUGCCAUUGUUGUCCGGUUGUCCCCGGGCGAGUGGCCUGGACGCCCACGGUCCGUCUCGUUGCUGGUGGAUCUUGGAGGUGAGCAGCCGACGUCUCAGACUGCCCUCGCUCUUGGGCUGCAGGUAGAGCAUCUUUUGAACAUCUUUCGAGCAGGCCGGAAGCAGCUCGUCCUCAUCCUCGCUGAAGCCCCCCUUCCAGCAUUGAGCCCCCACGCCUCCUCCUACCACCGGCUCGGUGGACAGACAGUCCACGUAUGCUAUCAUCUUCUCAGAGUCUCUCCCUGUCUCACCUGUGUGAUUAAUUGUUCUAACAGUCCGUGUAAUCCAUCAUCCACUCUUUCCAAACAGUAUGUUCCCAUCAAGUCUGGUCUGAAGAGGCUGGACUCUCCGAGUCUUCCCUACAACAGUAGAUUCUCAAUGAGCUGUAUGUUAGUGCCCAUCCACGGUGGAAUGACCAUAGAGAAACACUGGUAGAGAGAGAGUACAGAUCUAUCUCACGUAGUGGACUCUUACAGAAACCGAUCUCUGAGACUGUAUGGUGCGGUCCUUCCUUGUCUCUCUCGCGUCACCUCUCCUCUUUCUCUCUCUCU
ensembl:lncRNA